rnacentral:rRNA from 1 species
AUUGAACGCUAGCGGCAGGCCUAACACAUGCAAGUCGAGCGAGCGGCGGACGGGUGAGUAAUGUAUGGGGAUCUGCCCGGUAGAGGGGGAUAACUACUGGAAACAGUGGCUAAUACCGCAUACUAUCGGAGGAACCCAUAUGGGAUUAGCGAGUAGGUGGGGUAAAGGCUCACCAAGGCGACGAUCUUGAGCUGUUCUGAGAGGAGGAUCAGCCACACUGGGACUGAGACACGGCCCAGCAUCCUACGGGAGGCAGCAGUGGGGAAUAUUGAACAAUGUGCGCAAGCCUGAUGCAGCCAUGCCGCGUGUAUGAUGAAGGCCUUGGGGUUGUAAAGUACUUUCAGCGGGGAGGCGUUACCCGCAGAAGAAGCACCGGCUAACUCCGUGCCAGCAGCCGCGGUAAUUC